rnacentral:rRNA from 1 species
CAUUAAGUUUGGCUACGAAAGGGGACGACUCUAAUGAGACUGCCGGUGACAAACCGGAGGAAGGUGGGGAUGACGUCAAGUCCUCAUGGCCCUUAUGGGUAGGGCUUCACACGUCAUACAAUGGUCGGGACAGAGGGUUGCCAACCCGCGAGGGGGGAGCUAAUCCCAUAAACCCGAUCGUAGUCCGGAUUGCAGUCUGCAACUCGACUGCAUGAAGUCGGAAUCGCUAGUAAUCGCGGAUCAGCAUGUCGCGGUGAAUACGUUCCCGGGUCUU